rnacentral:rRNA from 1 species
UACGAGUUUGAGUCCUGGCUCAGGACGAACGCUGGCGGCGUGCGUAACACAUGCAAGUCGAAACGCUGAAGCCUGGCUUUGUGUUGGGUGGAUGAGUGGCGAACGGGUGAGUACACGUGAGUAACCUGCCCUCUUCUUCGGGAUAACGGUCUGAAAGGGCUGCUAAUACCGGGUAUUCACUGGUCUUCGCAUGGGGGUUGGUGGAAAGGGUUUUUCUGGUGGGGGAUGGGCUCGCGGCUUAUCAGCUUGUUGGUGGGGUGAUGGCUUACCAAGGCUUUGACGGGUAGCCGGCCUGAGAGGGUGACCGGUCACAUUGGGACUGAGAUACGGCCCAGACUCCUACGGGAGGCAGCAGUGGGGGAUAUUGCACAAUGGGCGCAAGCCUGAUGCAGCGACGCCGCGUGAGGGAUGGAGGCCUUCGGGUUGUGAACCUCUUUCGCCUGUGGUCAAGCCGCAACUGUGGGUUGUGGUGAGUGUAGUGGGUAAAGAAGCGCCGGCUAACUACGUG